rnacentral:rRNA from 1 species
AUUGAACGCUGGCGGCAGGCUUAACACAUGCAAGUCGAGCGGGGAUAGGGUGCUUGCACCUGAUUCCUAGCGGCGGACGGGUGAGUAAUGCUUAGGAAUCUGCCUAUUAGUGGGGGACAACAUUCCGAAAGGGAUGCUAAUACCGCAUAGGCCCUACGGGGGAAAGCAGGGGAUCUUCGGACCUUGCGCUAAUAGAUGAGCCUAAGUCGGAUUAGCUAGUUGGUGGGGUAAAGGCCUACCAAGGCGACGAUCUGUAGCGGGUCUGAGAGGAUGAUCCGCCACACUGGGACUGAGACACGGCCCAGACUCCUACGGGAGGCAGCAGUGGGGAAUAUUGGACAAUGGGGGGAACCCUGAUCCAGCCAUGCCGCGUGUGUGAAGAAGGCCUUUUGGUUGUAAACUGCUUUUGUACGGAACGAAACGGUCUGGGUUAAUACCCUGGGCUAAUGACGGUACCGUAAGAAUAAGCACCGGCUAACUACGUGCCAGCAGCCGCCGAAA